AGAUGAUGACUCUCGAGGACUUCCUCGCUAAGGCCAAUGUCGUCAAUGACGCCAGCCAUAACCAUGACCAUAACCACGACCUCGACUAUGACAAUGUCCUUUCACGAACCCCUACACCGAGUCACUCUUCAAAUUCAUUAUAUUCAUAUUUCCCCUUCAAAUUCGUAAUCCGCUUCAAAUCCACUCUUCAAUCCCAAUGGAGGAUUCCAAGGGAGUCCUCAACUUUGAUUUUGAGGGCAACCUCAAUGCCACCCC
rnacentral:lncRNA from 1 species